rnacentral:lncRNA from 1 species
CACACACAGAAGCUUCCAACAGGCGCUCACACACACUGAUGUACACAUACCUGGCCGGUCCAGCUUCAGGGAGAGCCACUGGAUGGAAACACCCAGUCUUAGCUGUGCGGUUUUGUUCGUGUCGGACUGCAAACAUGCUUUCAUUCUUCUGUAUGUUUAAAGAGGCCCCUGCUUGAGUUUGGUCAUCGAAGAGCCACUGAACAAAUACAGAGUGGACCGAGCCCCUUGCAUCCAUCUCGCUAUGGAAGAAUUUUCAAUGCAGAUGUCCGUUUCAGCUGCGCCUGGGCCUGGCUAUCACAUAACGAAAAUAAACCAAAAACCCGUUUUACAGUUUGGCAGAGGUAAGCACAAAUACGGACACAGACGCAUACGCGCGGUGGACACAGAUGGAAUUUGUACACGUGUGUCUGUAUUCAUACACAUCAGUGGUCUCACACAUGCAGACUUGCAUAUACUUAUUCAACAGUUUUGCAUAUUUUUGUUCUUCUGUAAAGGUGUGGACAGGUGGGUCCGGCGUCAGGUUCAAGAGCACAUGUGGCUUCAGUUAGAACAGCCAGAAAUGGAGAUUUUGC